rnacentral:rRNA from 1 species
AUGGAUCGUGAGGUCCUGGAGCGUAUACUUGAUGGAAGAGAGAAGCCGACAAAUCUAUCACUCGCACUUUUGAAGGAUAUCACAGAAAAUUUCUCGGAUGAUCGAGAAAUCGGUCACGGUGGAUUUGCAACUGUUUAUAAGGGAGUGCUUCGUAAUGGGAACAUUGCUGUAAAGAGGAUAAGGAACAGUCAUUCAAUCAAUGAGACUUUAUUUUAUCGAGAAGUUGACAGCCUGUUGAACAUUAAACAUAAAAAUGUUGUACGCUUUCUUGGCUUCUGUGCUAGCACAGAUCAGAUAGCCAUACAAAUUGCAGGAUCAAAACGACAUAUUUAUGCUGAGGUAAGAGAAAGACUACUCUGUUUUGAGUAUAUCAGCAAUGGAAGUCUACAAAAGUAUGUUACUGAUGAAUUAAGAGGACUGGAAUGGAAUACACGCUAUGGAAUAAUUAGAGGAAUCUGUGAAGGUUUGCAUCAUCUGCACACGGAGAAGCACAUAUAUCAUAUGGAUUUGAAACCUGGCAAUAUACUACUAGAUAAUGAUAUGGUGCCGAAAAUCACAGAUUUCGGUUUAUCAAGACUUGAUGAAAAGUCAAAAACCAUGAGUGAAGACCGUCUCGGAUCACUAGGAUAUUGUGCUCCAGAGUACAUAUCUGAAGGAAAUAUGUCAUUCAAAUCAGACAUGUACAGUUUGGGCAAAAUAAUCAUCGAGCUAGUGACGGGAGGAAAGGAGAUCCUCAAUAAUAGCAACACUGUACUUAGGAGAUGGAGACACAGAUGGAAAAAAUCUGGAAAGGAAACACCAUUGGUCUACCAACAAGUAGCAAAAUGCAUCGAAAUUGGGUUACUCUGCCAAGAACGUGAACCAUCCAAGCGGCCCUUUAUAUGGGAUAUAAUAAAUGAUAUCAGCCACAUGGAAGUUGUAAAUGAGGAAAUCAACAAUGCCAACGAAUAUACAUUUGGGGAGAUAAGCUCUUGCCUAGAGGAGGAUGAUAUGCUUGGAAUUGAGCCACUCAAACUACAUUUUCCUUUUGCCCUUAACAAACAGAUGUCCUGCGAGAUUCAGCUAACCAAUGAGACGGACUCUUACAUUGCCUUCAAUGUCCAAAAUAUGAGCCCCAAGUCAUACAACACACAACCGCAGAAAGACAUUAUGCCACCACGUUCCAAGUGUAACAUUGAAAUAACACUGCAGGCGCAAGGCAAUGUGCCGAUAGAUAUGCAGCGUGCCAAUGAGUUUGUUGUGUGGAGCACCAAAGUGAAUGAUGGUUUUGCAUUUGAGGAUAUUACUAAAAGCAUGUUCAUCAAAGAGACAGUGAAUGUGGUUGAUGAGGUGAAUUUAGAUGUGGUUUUUGAUGUAAGUGAGCCACAAGAAGCAAGUGACAAAAUCAGUGAGCAGACAAUGCCACCUUUAAUACAGAUCAUAGAUGAUACAGCUGGGAAAAUCUAUUGCAUAGAUGCACAUCAGAAAGAGCGGUUGAUUAUAGUGGGUACCUCACUUGGGAAUGUUAAGACAUGGAACUAUGACACACAGAAAGUGGCCGGUUUGACUAAGGUCUCAGCAGAACCUGUUACGGAUGUGAAGUUCAUUGCACGAAAGGGGUGGUUUGUUGCAGUGUCAUCUGACUGUGUCGUCCAUGUGUACAACUACGAAAAGGAAAUGCAAAAAGUCACGAGUUUCAGAGCUCUGGGUCGUGCAGAUGUUUGGUGUACAUUAGCCGUUCAUCCAACCCAGCCGUAUGUGCUGUCAGGAUGUGCUACCGAAAUAAAGCUUUGGGACCGUAAUUGCAUACAGACAUUUGAAGAGCACUCGGCUGCUAUUAUGGCCCUAAAAUUUAACCCGGAGGACACCAACAGUUUUGCAAGUGCUUCGCAUGAUGCUACAAUAAAGGUUUGGAGUCUUGAUUCUCACAAAUCCAAGUAUACUCUGUUUGGGCAUAGGCAUGUAGUGAACUUCCUGGAUUUCUUCACGCGUGAUGGUCAGCAGUAUUUGAUUAGUGGCUCUUGGGAUGCGACUGCCAAGAUAUGGGACAUGGACAAGAAGGAGUGCGUUCAUACACUUGAACAUGAGUCUGCAGUUUUUCAGGUCGUUUCCCAUCCCAAUCUCCCAGUUCUAAUUACAGGUACAAAGGAUGGUGAUGUUCACGCGUGGAGCUCAAAUGAUUUCAGGCUCAAGAGAAUACAUAACUUUCAUGACAGUGGAUGGGUUGUGGGUCUCGCAUGUUUGGUGGGAUCAGGAAGGCUUGUAGUUGCACACAAAACUGGAGUGUCGUUGAUGGAAAUUCGUGAUGAAGAGGAACAAGGUGGUAGCACAGGCAGCAAUGAGAAUUCCUUAUUAGCGACAAAUUUGGAAAUCCAAAGCUAG